ACAGAACUAGCCUUUCUCCUUCGCAAUGAGUAUGAUCUGGAGCUUCAUCGGUAGAGGGCACUAAAGGGACACUGCAGGAAGAAGGGGGCUUAUCUCCUGGUGCCUGGCCUCCAGCAGUGCACUCCUGCUUCAUCAGUAAGGCUCUGUGCUGUCAGGAUCCUCAGAGUGGAAAGUCCUGCAGCCCAAAUCCCCUGACUGGACUGGGAGACCCCUUGCCUUCACACAUACAGUGGAACCCUACCUCCUGACCACUUUCCACCAUCAGCUGGCUGGCACUCCAGGGCUUGUGACAGCCCUCCCAGUGUGAACGCUGAACACCAGGCCUUACACCUCCUACUGUGCGGUCAAGCCUGUUUCUGGCCAAGCCUCAGAUGCAACCAAACACAUGCAAGGAGAGGAACACAUUAAAUGACGCCAUCUGAUGUAAUCACAAGAUCAAGGUUUGAUUGAGGGAACUUCACAGAAAAACCAGCAGAAUUCUCCAGUGAGGAUUUCCCUUCCUCGAGCAGAGUGGGAAAGAAGAUCAAGGUACAAGAGACCAGAAGCCAGCCACCAAGAAGGAGCUGAUAGCUUCUCCAUCCAGGAAAGCAAGGUUGACUGUGGACUCCUGCAGCUGUGGUGGUGACCUGGAGGGCUAAAGAGGAACCUGAGGCAAAAGAGGAUCGUUUGAAUAAGGACCAGAAGAUAACUGUUGACUCCACUCAAAUGCAGUACAAAGAAAGCACUAGGCGGAGUGCUCUGGAGGUCUCACCAGUGAUGGAGCUGGAAAACUUUUCCUCCAUGGAUGUCAGCGUGUGUCAUGCAGGAGGAUGUGAGAAGGAACCCACUGUAUCCAUCCUUCUGCCUCCUGCUUCAUCACUGCUGGAGUCACUGUACAGACAGUAGCCUCACAAGCCAGAGGGGAAAUCUGUGGCCUACAGCCUGUCCUUCUAAUGUCUCCCUAUGGCUGAGUUUGAGAGCAGCAAUGUGGCAGGUGGGUAACAUUAGCAGGCACUCUUCUUCACAGAGAAUGUAACCACCUUCCCCAAGCCACCCCUCACCACCCAGCUGACCUCCAAGAUCAUCUAGCUUUUAGAUUGCAAAGGCCAGCCUCAGGCCUGGGGUCUGAAUAACUGACUGCUGCAAACUUUCCAGAUCCUUCUGUGAUUUUGCCUCUCUUCUGGUGGUACUGUAGCUGGAAGAAAAGUAGAACCAAACUAGCUGUAUCAAAGCCACCCAGCUGAGAGAGCUCAGACAUGGUUCAAAUGAAAACCCCAGAAUACAACCACAUUGCUACCAGGACCAGAGCAGUCCCCACAAAUCUGACAAAAAGGAGGGACUGGUCACUGAUGGUGUCAUAUGUUAUUUUAAUCUUUCUGAAAUGUUCUUAGUCCAUACAGCUUGUCCUAUGCCCUGAUAUUUCCCAGGUGAUUCAUAACCGAAUGUUAUUGGCUUCAACAUAGACCAAGAGGGAAUGAGAUUAAAGACACACCUAGUGAACCCUGGAGGGCAUGCAGCUCAGGCUUCAGGGUAUGUCACUAGACCUAUUGCAUUCAGACCCUGAUGGCAGGGACUGAGGAUCCAUGCUAAGUCCCUUCUCCCUUUAUACCUGCAAGGGCAGGUAUAAAGAGAGAUAACCAACACAUCAUGGGAUAUAGUUUCAUAGAACUGUGGAGGAGGAGUCCUUGACUCCAUAAUGAUGAGAUGGGGGAACUUGGGAAGAUAAAAAACAAGGUUCCAGCAGAGAGUUAGAGAAAGAACAUUUCCAACAGAGGGAGAUGGUGUGUGUGUGUGUGUGUGUAUGUGUGUGUGUGUGUGUGUGUGUGUGUGUGUUGGACAGGAAGAUGAGAAGUAGGAAGAAGACAGUGGCAUGAAGAAAAGAGAUGACAUUAACAUUUCUAUAUUCCUUCAGAGAAAAAGAGGAAGUACAUUUAGGGAUGGCUUUAACAGCUUAAAAAUAUAGAAUAUUAUCAGAGUAAUGUUUCUAAUAGCAACAAUAUAGACAGAAAACUCAACCUCCAAACCACUUGAGUAUCCAUUUACAGGGAAAUAGUUGAAUACCCAGUCUCUGUAUAUAUUAGGGACUAGUACAUAGUCCUUUUUUUGCUUUGUUUUGUUUUGUUUUUUGUUUUUUGUUUUUUGAGACAGGG